rnacentral:rRNA from 1 species
UACGUAGGGGGCUAGCGUUGUCCGGAUUUAUUGGGCGUAAAGAGCGUGUAGGCGGCCAGGUAGGUCCGUUGUGAAAACUCGAGGCUCAACCUCGAGCUGUCGGCGGAAACCAUCUGGCUAGAGUCCGGAAGAGGAGAGUGGAAUUCCUGGUGUAGCGGUGAAAUGCGCAGAUAUCAGGAAGAACACCCGUGGCGAAGGCGGCUCUCUGGGACGGUACUGACGCUGAGACGCGAAAGCGUGGGGAGCGAACAGG